rnacentral:rRNA from 1 species
CAAUAGCGUAUAUUAAAGCUGUUGCGGUUAAAAAGCUCGUAGUUGGAUUUCUGUCAAGGACAACUGGUCCGCCCCUCGGGUGAGCACAUAGUUUGGUCUUGGCAUCUUGUUGGAAACUGUUGCUGCACUUGGUUGUGUGGCGCAGUGUCCAGCACUUUCACUUUGAGGAAAUUGGAGUGUUUCAAGCAGGCACAUGCCUUUGGACACAGUAGCAUGGAAUAAUUAGAUUGGGCUUUUGCUCCAACUUGUCGGUUUCUGGAGCUGAGGUGAGAAUUAAUGGGGAUUGUUGGGGGCAUCCGAAUUUAGCCGUCAGAGGUGAAAUUCUUGGAUCUGCUAAAGACGGACAACUGCGAAAGCGUUUGUCCAGGAUGUUUUCAUUGA